UUAGCACAGUGGUUAAAGCACUUGGCUGCCAACCAGAAGGUCUGUGGUUCAAAUCCACCA
rnacentral:tRNA from 1 species